rnacentral:rRNA from 1 species
GGGAGGUAGUGACAAUAAAUAACAAUACGGGGUUCUUCGAAUCUCGUAAUUGGAAUGAGUACAAUUUAAAUCUCUUAACGAGGAACAAUUGGAGGGCAAGUCUGGUGCCAGCAGCCGCGGUAAUUCCAGCUCCAAUAGCGUAUAUUAAAGUUGUUGCAGUUAAAAAGCUCGUAGUUGAAUUUCGGGGUCAGUAGGUUGGUCGUGCCACUGGUAUGCACUGGCCUCACUGAUUCCUCCUUCUUGAAGAACUGUGAUGUCAUUCAUUUGGUGUUGCAGGGAAACAGGACUGUUACUUUGAAAAAAUUAGAGUGUUUAAAGCAGGCUAACGCUUGAAUACAUUAGCAUGGAAUAAUGAAAUAGGACGUUUGAUCCUAUUUUGUUGGUUUCUAGGAUUGACGUAAUGAUUAAUAGGGAUAGUUGGG